rnacentral:lncRNA from 1 species
UGUAUGCAUUGUGAAGAUUUUUAUCCAUUCUGAUAAAGAAUGUUGAGAAACAAUAAAGGAUAAAACCACACGUCCAGGGCAACAUGGGCCCUGGACGGACAGGGGUGCCAAAUUAUAGAGGUGCGUGAGACGUCAAGCACAGGCCAACAAUAAAAUGGCUCCUCGGGUAGGGAAACUUCUAAGUUGAUUUUAAUAUAAGCUCCUGUUUGUUGGAAACAUUAUUUCUAGGCAUUUGGUUGAUCAAAAUUGCUAUGUUGUUUACUUUAUUUAUUCCCUUAAUACACGUACUUGAGUUAUUCACGAGGAAGAAGGAUAAAAAGAUUUGUUCAUAAAAAGAAAGCAGCAACAUUACAUGUGAAAGUUCAAAGCAGUAAUUAUUAGAUGCAAUAUAUCUCUCGACUUGGGACAUGAAUCUUGAAAAAAUGUUACUCUCUCUAUUUUUGGCGAGAGUGGACUUUUCGGAUUUCAGCUUACAUUUUUCCUUCAUGGUGGGGUUUUUCCACGUAAACAUUGAGUUUGUUAUUUGUCUGAUUAUUCAGUUUCUUUAAUCCAUGAAAACCCCAAUAAAAGAUGGCAACAUUUACCUUCUAUACGUGUCUGAGUGCUCUUUUGCUUCAAACGGGGGCACCCCAUAUAGAAACUCGUAGCACAGGACACCAAGGCUCCAGAUGUCCACAUUUGCGUCAUGCUCCACACUUUCAACUGCAAGUUUAACAUUUGAUCUUUCGUCAUUAAGUAAUAGCCAC